AUUUUUAAAACAUAAUUUUUGAAAAAAAAAAAAAAAUUUUAUUCGCGAUUUCUAGACAAGUUUUCGCCGUUUUACUCUAAGAAUUUCUAAGAUUAUCCUCCAGAAGAAGGAAAACCGGAAUAGUAGAAAAGUGAGGAUAACGGACGGAAGUGCAAAGAGCGCUCUUAUGUCCGAUUUUGUUACAUCUGUGGCCCACAUGUGUUGGUGCCAAUCUAUCCCUGGGGUAGGUGAGGGGGUACCUCUUCACACAAACAUCUAUAUGCUCAAUUCUUUAGAUCUCUCUAAAAUUGGAAUUGCGAAGACAUCAUUUUUUUGCACUACUUUUUUCCUCUUUAUUUUUAUACAUGAUUUAACGAUUAAUGUAAUCGAUACCUCAAGUAGAGUAGUAAUAAAUUGUUACACACUUAUUUUAUCGAUAUAAAUUUAUUAGAAAAAAUAAAAAAGCGUAC
rnacentral:lncRNA from 1 species